UUGGAGGAUCUGUUGCAGGAAGUACAGGUGCUGAUGGAGGCUUUGACAUGCAAGAUGGAGGACCUGCUAUUCAGAAUGUCAAGUGAUGAACUCUUGAGGCUGGAAAUCAGUUAGCUGUUUAGAAAUUAUAACUGCAUAUAGUAUACCUCACUACAAGGCUUUGUAUGGAUGGCGUGCUGAAUAUAUGAAUAUAUAUUGUAUGGACCACUCAUUGAAUCGAAUAUUUGUCUGGAAUUACAUUGGGACCUUGUUAUGAAUGAAUGUUCUCAUUGUAUUGUACUAAUUAAAUUGCAAUUAAAUGAGCUUUUAUUUUU